rnacentral:rRNA from 1 species
UACGUAGGGUGCGAGCGUGUCCGGAAUUAUUGGGCGUAAAGAGCUCGUAGGCGGUGUGUCACGUCGGCCGUGAAAACCUGGGGCUUAACUCUGGGCGUGCGGUCGAUACGGGCAUCACUGGAGUUCGGGCAGGGGAGACUGGAAUUCCUGGUGUAGCGGUGAAAUGCGCAGAUAUCAGGGAGGAACACCGGUGGGCGAAGGCGGGUCUCUGGGCCGAUACUGAC